AUACGGAGUUACAAAGGACGACAUUAGACGAAUCAUCUGGAAAGAUGAAUCAAAGAAGGUAAUAAUCCUGUAGUCGAAAAUGUUGUCUCUCUUGAGUGGAUCCUGAGUACGACGGAGCACGUGAAAUUCCGUCGGAAUCUGGGAGGACCAUCUCCUAAGGCUAAAUACUCUCUAGUGACCGAUAGUGAACCAGUACCGUGAGGGAAAGGUGAAAAGCACCCCGGAAGGGGAGUGAAAUAGAACCUGAAACCGUGUGCUUACAAGUAGUCAGAGCCCGUUAAUGGGUGAUGGCGUGCCUUUUGUAGAAUGAACCGGCGAGUUACGAUUUGAUGCAAGGUUAAGCAGUAAAUGUGGAGCCGUAGCGAAAGCGAGUCUGAAUAGGGCGUUUAGUAUUUGGUCGUAGACCCGAAACCAGGUGAUCUACCCUUGGUCAGGUUGAAGUUCAGGUAACACUGAAUGGAGGACCGAACCGACUUACGUUGAAAAGUGAGCGGAUGAACUGAGGGUAGCGGAGAAAUUCCAAUCGAACCUGGAGAUAGCUGGUUCUCUCCGAAAUAGCUUUAGGGCUAGCCUCAAGUGAUGAUUAUUGGAGGUAGAGCACUGUUUGGACGAGGGGCCCCUCUCGGGUUACCGAAUUCAGACAAACUCCGAAUGCCAAUUAAUUUAACUUGGGAGUCAGAACAUGGGUGAUAAGGUCCGUGUUCGAAAGGGAAACAGCCCAGACCACCAGCUAAGGUCCCAAAAUAUAUGUUAAGUGGAAAAGGAUGUGGCGUUGCCCAGACAACUAGGAUGUUGGCUUAGAAGCAGCCAUCAUUUAAAGAGUGCGUAAUAGCUCACUAGUCGAGUGACACUGCGCCGAAAAUGUACCGGGGCUAAACAUAUUACCGAAGCUGUGGAUUGUCCUUUGGACAAUGGUAGGAGAGCGUUCUAAGGGCGUUGAAGCAUGAUCGUAAGGACAUGUGGAGCGCUUAGAAGUGAGAAUGCCGGUGUGAGUAGCGAAAGACGGGUGAGAAUCCCGUCCACCGAUUGACUAAGGUUUCCAGAGGAAGGCUCGUCCGCUCUGGGUUAGUCGGGUCCUAAGCUGAGGCCGACAGGCGUAGGCGAUGGAUAACAGGUUGAUAUUCCUGUACCACCUAUA
rnacentral:rRNA from 1 species